UACGGAGGGUGCAAGCGUUAUUCGGAAUUACUGGGCGUAAAGGGCGUGUAGGCGGCCUUGUAAGUCAGAUGUGAAAGCCCACGGCUUAACCGUGGAACUGCAUUUGAAACUGCUUGGCUAGAGUACGGGAGGGGGUGGCGGAAUUCCCGGUGUAGGAGUGAAAUCCGUAGAUAUCGGGAGGAACACCAGUGGCGAAGGCGGCCACCUGGACCGUAACUGACGCUGAGACGCGAAAGCGUGGGGAG
rnacentral:rRNA from 1 species